rnacentral:rRNA from 1 species
UACGUAGGGUGCGAGCGUUAAUCGGAAUUACUGGGCGUAAAGCGUGCGCAGGCGGUUGUGCAAGACAGAUGUGAAAUCCUCGGGCUCAACCUGGGAAUUGCAUUUGUGACUGCACGGCUAGAGUGUGUCAGAGGGGGGGUAGAAUUCCACGUGUAGCAGUGAAAUGCGUAGAGAUGUGGAGGAACACCGAUGGCGAAGGCAGCCCCCCUGGGUCAAGAUUGACGCUCAUGCACGAAAGCGUGGGGGAGCAAACAGG